rnacentral:rRNA from 1 species
AUCUACACGUAAGGAGUCGUCGGCAGCGUCAGAUGUGUAUAAGAGACAGCAUGUGGACAGUAUGGGAGUGAGAAUGUUGGCAUGAGUAGCGAGAUGUGGGUGAGAAUCCCACAGGCCGUAAACCCAAGGUUUCCAGGGGAAGGUUCGUCCGCCCUGGGUUAGUCGGGACCUAAGCUGAGGCCGAAAGGCGUAGGUGAUGGACAACAGGUUGAUAUUCCUGUACUACCGAUAACCGUUUGAGAGAAGGGAUGACACAGUAGGAUAAGCUAAGCACACUGUUGGUUAUGUGUGCCCAAGCAUUGAGGCAGUCAAAGUAGGCAAAUCCGCUUUGAUAAUGCUGGGAUGUGAUGGGGAGCGAAAUUUAGUAGCGAAGUAGCUGAUUUCACACUGUCAAGAAAAGUCUCUAUCGAGGUUAAAGGUACCCGUACCGCAAACCGACACAGGUGGGUGAGGAGAGUAUCCUAAGGCCAGCGAGAGAACUGUUGUUAAGGAACUCGGCAAAAUGACCCCGUAACUUAGGGAUAAGGGGUGCCACCAUCAGGUGGCCGCAGAGAAUAGGCCCAAGCGACUGUUUACCAAAAACAUAGGUUUCUGCUAAGUCGCAAGACGAUGUAUAGGAGCUGACGCCUGCCCGGUGCUGGAAGGUUAAGGGGAUCUGUUAGAGCAAUCGAAGCAGUGAACUUAAGCCCCAGUAAACGGCGGCCGUAACUAUAACGGUCCUAAGGUAGCGAAAUUCCUUGUCGGGUAAGUUCCGACCCGCACGAAAGGCGUAACGAUUUGGGCACUGUCUCAACAACAGACUCGGUGAAAUUGUAAUUCCGGUGAAGAUGCCGGAUACCUGCGACAGGACGGAAAGACCCCAUGGAGCUUUACUGUAGCUUGACAUUGGGUCUUGGUACUACAUGUACAGGAUAGGUGGGAGGCUUUGAAACCAGGACGCCAGUUUUGGCGGAGCCAUCCUUGGGAUACCACCCUUGUAGUACUGGGACUCUAACCAUAGGCCAUGAAUCUGGUCUUGGGACACUGUCAGGUGGGCAGUUUGACUGGGGCGGUCGCCUCCCAAAAGGUAACGGAGGCGCUCAAAGGUUCUCUCAGUACGGUCGGAAAUCGUACGUAGAGUGUAAAGGCAAAAGAGAGCUUGAUUGCAAGACAUACAGGUCGAGCAAGGAUGAAAAUCGGACUUAGUGAUCCGGUGGUUCUGCGUGGAAGGGCCAUCGCUCAACGGAUAAAAGCUACCCUGGGGAUAACAGGCUUAUCUCCCCCAAGAGUCCACAUCGACGGGGAGGUUUGGCACCUCGAUGUCGGCUCAUCACAUCCUGGGGCUGUAGUAGGUCCCAAGGGUUGGGCUGUUCGCCCAUUAAAGUGGUACGCGAGCUGGGUUCAGAACGUCGUGAGACAGUUCGGUCCCUAUCCGUCGCAGGCGUAGGAAAUUUGAGAAGACCUGUCCUUAGUACGAGAGGACCGGGAUGGACGUACCUCUGGUGUACCAGUUG